UGGGGAAUUUUGGACAAUGGGCGCAAGCCUGAUCCAGCCAUGCCGCGUGCGGGAAGAAGGCCUUCGGGUUGUAAACCGCUUUUGUCAGGGAAGAAAUCUUCUGAGUUAAUACCUCGGGAGGAUGACGGUACCUGAAGAAUAAGCACCGGCUAACUACGUGCCAGCAGCCGCGGUAAUACGUAGGGUGCAAGCGUUAAUCGGAAUUACUGGGCGUAAAGCGUGCGCAGGCGGUUUUGUAAGACAGAGGUGAAAUCCCCGGGCUCAACCUGGGAACUGCCUUUGUGACUGCAAGGCUUGAGUGCGGCAGAGGGGGAUGGAAUUCCGCGUGUAGCAGUGAAAUGCGUAGAUAUGCGGAGGAACACCGAUGGCGAAGGCAAUCCCCGUGGGCCUGCACUGACGCUCAUGCACGAAAGCGUGGGGAGCAAACAGGAUUAGAUACCCUGGUAGUCCACGCCCUAAACGAUGUCAACUGGUUGUUGGGAAGUCCUUCUCAGUAACGUAGUUAACGCGUGAAGUUGACCGCCUGGGGAGUACGGCCGCAAGGUUGAAACUCAAAUG
rnacentral:rRNA from 1 species